rnacentral:rRNA from 1 species
AGUGAACGCUGGCGGUAGGCCUAACACAUGCAAGUCGAACGGCAGCACAGUAAGAGCUUGCUCUUACGGGUGGCGAGUGGCGGACGGGUGAGGAAUACAUCGGAAUCUACUUUUUCGUGGGGGAUAACGUAGGGAAACUUACGCUAAUACCGCAUACGACCUACGGGUGAAAGCAGGGGAUCUUCGGACCUUGCGCGAUUGAAUGAGCCGAUGUCGGAUUAGCUAGUUGGCGGGGUAAAGGCCCACCAAGGCGACGAUCCGUAGCUGGUCUGAGAGGAUGACAAGCCAAACUGAACCUAGAACACGGUCAAGAUCCCUACGGAAGGCGGCAGUGGGAAAUUUGGGAAAAGGGGGGCAGGCCUAUCCAAGCCUACCGGGGGGGGGAAAGAAGGCCUCGGGUUUGAAAACCCCUUUUUUUGGAAAAAAAAGCCAGCGGUUAAAUACCCGCUGUUCUGACGGUACCCAAAGAAUAAGCACCGGCUAACUUCGUG